CUUUGGAGGAUCUGAACUCCAAUUCUGUUUGCACACUAGAGGCCCUGUUGCUGUCUGCUAUGAUUCAACAGCCCUGUUCCCUAACUGUCCUCAGGGUGCUCAGUUUUCUUCUCUUGGAGAUUGAGUACCUCAGUUCUGGAGACUGGAAAAUCCAAAACCACGGCACCAGCAUCUGGUGAAGAUCUUUUCAUGGCAAGAGAGAAAACACAUGCAUGUCAGCUCAAAUCUCUUUCUCUUUUAAUAAUGUUGCUAGUCCCAUCAUGGAGGCCCCAGCCUUAUGACCUUAUCUAAUGCUAAUUACAUCCAAAAGGCUCCACCUCCAAUCAACAUAUGAAUUUGGAAAUUAGGUUUCCAAUACGUGAAAUUUGGGAAAUGUAUUUAAACCACAAACAGCCAGUUUAAAAGAUUUUGCAUUGAAUAAUAAAAGUGAACCAACAAA